rnacentral:rRNA from 1 species
UACGUAGGGUGCGAGCGUUAAUCGGAAUUACUGGGCGUAAAGGGUGCGCAGGCGGCUCCGCAUGUCGGGCGUGAAAUCCCCGGGCUUAACCUGGGAAUUGCGUCCGAAACUAUGGAGCUGGAGUGUGGCAGAGGGGGAUGGAAUUCCGCGUGUAGCAGUGAAAUGCGUAGAUAUGCGGAGGAACACCGAUGGCGAAGGCAAUCCCCUGGGCCUGCACUGACGCUCAUGCACGAAAGCGUGGGGAGCAAACAGG